rnacentral:rRNA from 1 species
GACGAACGCUGGCGGCGUGCCUAAUACAUGCAAGUUGAGCGAUGAAGAUUGGUGCUUGCACCAAUUUGAAGAGCAGCGAACGGGUGAGUAACGCGUGGGGAAUCUGCCUUUGAGCGGGGGACAACAUUUGGAAACGAAUGCUAAUACCGCAUAAUAACUUUAAACAUAAGUUUUAAGUUUGAAAGAUGCAAUUGCAUCACUCAAAGAUGAUCCCGCGUUGUAUUAGCUAGUUGGUGAGGUAAAGGCUCACCAAGGCGAUGAUACAUAGCCGACCUGAGAGGGUGAUCGGCCACAUUGGGACUGAGACACGGCCCAAACUCCUACGGGAGGCAGCAGUAGGGAAGCUUCGGCAAUGGACGAAAGUCUGACCGAGCAACGCCGCGUGAGUGAAGAAGGUUUUCGGAUCGUAAAACUCGGUUGGUAGAGAAGAACGUUGGUGAGAGUGGAAAGCUCAUCAAGUGACGGUAACUACCCAGAAAGGGACGGCUAACUACGUG